rnacentral:rRNA from 1 species
AAACAUAGCCUUAAGAAAUGAUUUAAGGUAAGCCCUGCCCAGUGGAAAUAUUCUCAACGGCCGCAGUACCUUGACUGUGCUAAGGUAGCGUAAUCAGUUGGCUUUUAAAUGGAGUCCAGAAUGAACGGGGCCAUGGGGAGAAGCUGUCUCUUUCUUGAUUAAUUUAAUUUGCUUAAUAGGUGAAAAUACCUUUUUGAAGAAAAAAGACGAGAAGACCCUUAGAGCCUAACAAUAUAAUAUGCUUUAUUUGUUUUUGUUGGGGCGACAAGAAGACAAUGUUAAAACUCUUCUUUUAUACUAAACGAUUAUAAUAUAUAAGAACAGGCUACCUUAGGGAUAACAGCAUAAUUAUUUAAUAGUUUGUGACCUCGAUGUUGGACUAGGAACUUGAUGACUAGUCGUCAAUAAAGGAAAGUUCUGUUCGAACUACUUUUUCCUACGUG